rnacentral:rRNA from 1 species
AUUGAACGCUGGCGGCAUGCCUUACACAUGCAAGUCGAACGGCAGCACGGGAGCAAUCCUGGUGGCGAGUGGCGAACGGGUGAGUAAUAUAUCGGAACGUGCCCAGUCGUGGGGAUAACGUAGCGAAAGCUACGCUAAUACCGCAUACGAUCUACGGAUGAAAGCGGGGGAUCGCAAGACCUCGCGCGAUUGGAGCGGCCGAUAUCAGAUUAGGUAGUUGGUGAGGUAAAGGCUCACCAAGCCGACGAUCUGUAGCUGGUCUGAGAGGACGACCAGCCACACUGGGACUGAGACACGGCCCAGACUCCUACGGGAGGCAGCAGUGGGGAAUUUUGGACAAUGGGCGCAAGCCUGAUCCAGCAAUGCCGCGUGCAGGAUGAAGGCCUCGGUUGUAACGUAGUAC